rnacentral:misc_RNA from 1 species
UAAUAAGUGUUUUAUGGCACUUUUUAAAUCCAUAUCCACCUUGUGUGCAAUGUCAGUCGAUCUUCUUCAUGGAGAUCGACCAAACAUCAACCUUUAUCUUUUAACUCUUUGUCUGAAAAAUAUUAUGAAUAAACAAUUCAAAAUACAACUUUCAACAACGGAUCUCUUGGCUCUCGCAUCGAUGAAGAACGCAGCGAAAUGCGAUACGUAAUGUGAAUUGCAGAAUUCAGUGAAUCAUCGAACCUUUGAACGCAUAUUGCGCUCUUUGGUAUUCCGAAGAGCAUGCUUGUUUGAGUAUCAGUAAACACCUCAAAGCUUUUGGAUUUUUUAAUCGAAAAGCUUUGGACUUGAGCAAUCCCAACACCAAUCCUUUUUGAGAUCGGUGGCGGGUUGCUUGAAAUGCAGGUGCAGCUGGACAUUCUCCUGAGCUAAAAGCAUAUUCAUUUAGUCCCGUCAAACGGAUUAUUACUUUCGCUGCAGCUAACAUAAAGGGAGUUUGACCGUAUUGGCUGACUGAUGCAGGAUUUCACAAGGGUCGGCAACGAUUCUUGUUAAACUCGAUCUCAAAUCAAGUAAGACUACCCGCUGAACUUAAGCAUAUCAAUAAGCGGAGGAAUCGUAGCCUUGGUCAUUUAGAGGAAGUAAAAGUCGUAACAAGGUUUCCGUAGGUGAACCUGCGGAAGGAUCACUAGUGAUUAAAUCGAGCGUGUCUUCAUUGACCGCUCACCCUUCUCACCAUCCACAUACACCUGUGCACUGUUUAGCCUGAGCCGGUUUUCCGGUCCAGGUUAUCAUUUCAUACAAACUCUAGUCUUAUGAAUGUAAACGUUUUAAUAACAUAAUA